rnacentral:lncRNA from 1 species
CCCGAUUCUUUUUCUUUUUGCGUUUCCACUUCCCAGCGUGAGGUAUGUAAGUGACUUUUUCUGUCUACUUUUUUCUUUUAUCUUUUCUUAUAUAAGUAAAAACAAUAAAUAACAAAUAUAGUACUAUAAAUCUUUUAACUCUUUAUCCUUCUAUAAUCUAAUAAGUAUUCCAUAUAACUUACAUACUUUAUCAUCCAGUAAUCUAUAUGUUCAUAUAAAUUAGAACAACUUGAAUAUAGUAUUAGUAUCGAGUUCAGUUAA